rnacentral:rRNA from 1 species
UGCCGAAGAUUCAUUGAGAAUUUCUCCAAGAUUGCAAAGCCUCUUUCCAACCUCCUCCAGAAGCAUGUGAAGUAUGUCUGGUCUCCUGAGUGUGACGUUGCUUUCAACACUCUCAAAGAGAAACUUGUCACAGCUCCUGUCUUAACUCCUCCUGAUGAAUCCAAGCCGUUUGAAGUUUUCUGUGAUGCUUCUCUCCAAGGUCUCGGUGCUGUGUUAAUGCAAGAGAAGAAAGUUGUGGCCUAUAACUUUCGUCAGUUAAAGCCCAACGAGAAGAACUACCCCACUCAUGAUCUUGAGUUGGCGGCAGUUGUCCAUGCAUUAAUAACG